GCGCUUCUGUUAGGAAUCUAUACUGUGAAACUGCGAAUGGCUCAUUAAAUCAGUUAUCGUUUAUUUGAUAGUACCUUACUACUUGGAUAACCGUGGUAAUUCUAGAGCUAAUACAUGCUAAAAACCCCGACUUCGGAAGGGGUGUAUUUAUUAGAUAAAAAACCAAUGCCCUUCGGGGCUCCUUGGUGAAUCAUGAUAACUUAACGAAUCGCAUGGCCUUGCGCCGGCGAUGGUUCAUUCAAAUUUCUGCCCUAUCAACUUUCGAUGGUAGGAUAGUGGCCUACCAUGGUAGCAACGGGUAACGGGGAAUUAGGGUUCUAUUCCGGAGAGGGAGCCUGAGAAACGGCUACCACAUCCAAGGAAGGCAGCAGGCGCGCAAAUUACCCAAUCCCGACACGGGGAGGUAGUGACAAUAAAUACUGAUACAGGGCUCUUUCGAGUCUUGUAAUUGGAAUGAGUACAAUUUAAAUACCUUAACGAGGAACAAUUGGAGGGCAAGUCUGGUGCCAGCAGCCGCGGUAAUUCCAGCUCCAAUAGCGUAUAUUAAAGUUGUUGCAGUUAAAAAGCUCGUAGUUGAACCCUUGGGCACUGGCUGGCCCGGUCCGCCUCACCGCGUGUACUGGUCCGGCCGGGCCUUUCCUUCUGGGGAUCCGCAUGCCCUUCACUGGGUGUGUCGGGGAACCAGGACUUUUACUUUGAAAAAAUUAGAGUGUUCAAAGCAGGCCUUUGCUCGAAUACAUUAGCAUGGAAUAAUAGAAUAGGGACGUGCGGUCCUAUUUUUGUUGGUUUCUAGGACCGCCGUAAUGAUUAAUAGGGGAUAGUCGGGGGCAUCAGUAUUCAAUUGUCAGAGGUGAAAUUCUUGGAAUUUAUUGAAGACUAACUACUGCGAAAGAUUUUGCCAAGGAUGUUUUCAUUAAUCAGUGAACGAAAGUUAGGGGAUCGAAGAGAUCAGAAUACCGUCGUAGUCUUAACCGUAACUAUGCCGAUAAGGGAUCGG
rnacentral:rRNA from 1 species